GACGAACGCUGGCGGCGUGCCUAACACAUGCAAGUCGAGCGGGGUCGAAGCGAGGGGUAACUCGGACUUCUACCGUAGCGGCGGACGGGUGAGUAACGCGUGGGCAACCUGCCUCAAGGGUUUGGGAUAACAGCUCGAAAGGGCUGCUAAUACCGGAUAUGCCUGUGGCCUCGCAUGGGGCUAUGAGCAAAGGGGAAACCCGCCUUGAGAUGGGCCCGCGUCCCAUCAGCUAGUUGGUGAGGUGAAGGCUCACCAAGGCGACGACGGGUAGCCGGCCUGAGAGGGUGACCGGCCACACUGGGACUGAGACACGGCCCAGACUCCUACGGGGGGCAGCAGUGGGGGAUCUUGCACAAUGGGCGAAAGCCUGAUGCAGCGACGCCGCGUGAGCGAAGAAGGCCUUCGGGUUGUAAAGCCCUGUCUGGAGGGACGAAGAAAAUGACGGUACCUCCGGAGGAAGCCACGGCUAACUACGUG
rnacentral:rRNA from 1 species